rnacentral:lncRNA from 1 species
AGCACUCAUAUAAGUCGACAAUGCAUCUGCAUUCUAGAAAAUAAUUCAGUGUUCCAGACAAGAAUAUUGUUGAUUUUUGAAGAAAUUUCCCAUACCUACACUAAAGGAACACCAAAUUUAUUACUGUAUCAGUGAGACAGCUGUUGUGACAGUAAAGUGAGACCCUUGUAGCAAAAGCACUUUUCGGACUCCAUGAUGUUAGGAAACUGCAAAACACCUUCUUCUGAGUCCAGAGACUGGAAAAUGAACUCUUGUGUGGCCUCUAGUACUAGGAUGGCUGAGUUUCUUCAACCUGUUGCAUGCGAAGAAAGUGAAGCAAAGAGAACACAGGC